rnacentral:misc_RNA from 1 species
GGAAGUAAAAGUCCGUAACAAGGUUUCCGUAGGUGAACCUGCGGAAGGAUCAUUAAUGAAAUGAAUGUCGAAAAGGGUUGUAGCUGGCCUCUUGAGGCAUGUGCACACCUUGAUCGCACAUCCACAUCUCACACCUGUGCACAACCUGUAGCUUGGGAUGAUUACAAUGCUGGGAACAGUGUUGAAAGCCCUUGCCAUGAAAUCUUACACACACAUAUUAAAAGUUAUAGAAUGUUAUAUAGCGUAUAACAGCGCAAAUAAAUAUACAACUUUCAGCAACGGAUCUCUUGGCUCUC